CAGCCGCCACGGUAAUACGAGGGGUGCAAGCGUUAUUCGGAUUGAUUGGGUGUAAAGGGUGUGCAGACGGCUUAUUAAGUCACUUGUUAAAUUCUUCGGCCUAACUGAAGGUCUGCAAGUGAUACUGAUGAGCUAGAGGGUGGAAGAGAGAGGUGGAAUUCUCGGAGUAGCGGUAAAAUGCGUAGAUCUCGAGAGGAACACCAAUGGCGAAGGCAGCUUCUUGGUCCAUUCCUGACGUUCAUACACGAAAGCGUGGGGAGCAAACAGGAUUAGAUACCCCCGUAGUCCCUGUCUCUUAUAC
rnacentral:rRNA from 1 species